AGAAACUCUAGUUGUCAUCUUAAGCUUGAGGAGGGGGAGGUUGAAGGUAGAACUCUAGUUGACAAUCUAAGCUUGAGGAGGGGGAGGUUGAAGGUAGAAACUCUAGUUGUCAAUCUUAAGCUUGAGGAGGGGGAGGUUGAAGGUAGAAACUCUAGUUGUCAAUCUUAAGCUUGAGGAGGGGGAGGUUGAAGGUAGAAACUCUAGUUGUCAAGCUUAAGCUUGAGGAGGGGGAGGUUGAAGGUAGAAACUCUAGUAGUCAAUCUUAAGCUUGAGGAGGGGGAGGUUGAAGGUAGAAACUCUAGUUGACAAUCUUAAGCUUGAGGAGGGGGAGGUUGAAGGUAGAAACUCUAGUUGUCAAUCUUAAGCUUGAGGAGGGGGAGGUUGAAGGUAGAAACUCUAGUUGACAAUCUUAAGCUUGAGGAGGGGGAGGUUGAAGGUAGA